UGGGGAAUUUUGGACAAUGGGCGAAAGCCUGAUCCAGCAAUGCCGCGUGUGUGAAGAAGGCCUUCGGGUUGUAAAGCACUUUUGUCCGGAAAGAAAUCCUUGGCUCUAAUACAGUCGGGGGAUGACGGUACCGGAAGAAUAAGCACCGGCUAACUACGUGCCAGCAGCCGCGGUAAUACGUAGGGUGCAAGCGUUAAUCGGAAUUACUGGGCGUAAAGCGUGCGCAGGCGGUUUGCUAAGACCGAUGUGAAAUCCCCGGGCUCAACCUGGGAACUGCAUUGGUGACUGGCAGGCUAGAGUAUGGCAGAGGGGGGUAGAAUUCCACGUGUAGCAGUGAAAUGCGUAGAGAUGUGGAGGAAUACCGAUGGCGAAGGCAGCCCCCUGGGCCAAAUACUGACGCUCAUGCACGAAAGCGUGGGGAGCAAACAGGAUUAGAUACCCUGGUAGUCCACGCCCUAAAACGAUGUCAACUAGUUGUUGGGGAUUCAUUUCCUUAGUAACGUAGCUAACGCGUGAAGUUGACCGCCU
rnacentral:rRNA from 1 species